CGCGAGCAUUACCAUGAACAGAAGAAACUACCCAGCUGAUUUGAGGGUUUGCUCCCCGAGCCGCCCAGGCAAUUGGAGAAUUGAGCACCGGCUGGCGUAUUUGGCCAAAGGAUGCAGAAGAUGAAGCACAAGGCAUCCGGUCAGCAGCCCGCUGCAUGAUUUUUCUUUUCUUUU